GGGGGGGGGGCAGCCCCCCCUUUGCCCGGGCUGGCAGUGCCCCACUCACCAGGUGCCUGGGGAGGGGACGGGGACAGGGAUGGGGACAGGGCGGGCGGCCUGGGCAGGGGCGGCCCGUGGCCACAGUAGCGGAGCGGGCAGGCCAAGCACGUUUUGCAACUUCAGGCCAGGAUGCAGGUUUUUCUGGGGCCUCUUUACUGAUGGGAAACCCAACCUGCUACGAAUACGAUGUGGGUGAGGCGGUAUCUCAUUGUGGUGAAAGAUGGUGCAAUAAGAGCGAUUAAUUUUUUUGCAGAAAUACUCACUGUAUUUUCAUCUGUGGCAAGUCCUCUCACAGAGCCUGCAAUCUACCCGAGAACAGGGAGCAGAGACAAAGCACUUGUUUACCAAGUCUGAGCUUGCGGUUGAGAGGAAGGACUGGCAGAACACUUUGUUUUUAACAUCUCUGGCUAAAACCUGCACUGUGCCCCUUUACAUCUCAAACAAUGAUAAAGUGCAGCAGUGGGACAGUAGCAACCUGUGCCAUKUGCUGCCAGAUAGAGAGAGAUGCAGUUAAUUUACAACACAACCCCAGUCAUCGUCCUGCCAACGUUUGCACGCUACCUGAGGUGAUGCUGGACUGUUCAAGCGAUUUCAGUUUGCCUUUCCUCUGGCCACUUUUCAAACAAGCUGGGAAGCCCUUCGUUGGAAGGAUGUCAAAAGAGAACCAGCUGUCCUCUGGGAGGCCUCUGGGAUGUAGUACCAUGGCAAACCAUGCUGAGACAUGGGACACUUAGCAGCUGUAAGAGGGUUUCCCUCAGUCAUAACAGAGGCACCCAUCUGUAGAUUGCUUCAGCCGUUUCCGAAAAGAGGAGGAAGAAAAAUCUCUGCAUCC
rnacentral:lncRNA from 1 species